rnacentral:rRNA from 1 species
CCUACGGGGGGCAGCAGUGGGGAAUAUUGCACAAUGGGGGAAACCCUGAUGCAGCGACGCCGCGUGAAGGAAGAAGUAUUUCGGUAUGUAAACUUCUAUCAGCAGGGAAGAAAAUGACGGUACCUGACUAAGAAGCCCCGUCUAACUACGGGCCAGCAGCCUCGGGAAUACGUAGGGGGCAAGCGUUAUCCGGAUGUACUGGGUGUAAAGGGAGCGUAGGCGGUUUAGCAAGUCAGAAGUGAAAGCCCGGGGCUCAACUCCGGGCGUGCUUUUGAAACUGUUGAACUAGAGUGCAGGAGAGGUAAGUGGAAUUCCGAGUGUAGCGGUGAAAUGCGUAGAUAUUAGGAGGAACACCAGUGGCGAAGGCGGCUUACUGGACUGAAAAUGACGCUGAGGCUCGAAAGCGUGGGGAGCAAACAGGAUUAGAUACCCUUGUAGUC